UUGGACCUGAUAUCAAACCAGACUACCCGC
rnacentral:rRNA from 1 species